GAUGUCUUUCCGGUUGCUGUCGCCUCUGGCGACUGUGAGGCUAAUUAGUCGUCUGGUGUGUGGUAUGAUAAAAAAAAUGGAGGUAAUCACUCAUCCAACACCUCGAACUGUCGAAGAGGUCUUUACUGACUUCAGAGGUCGCUAGCUGGUCUUAUCAAGGCUCUCACCACCAAUAUGGUGAAGUUUUACCAAACACGCAAUCCUGCAGUUAUAGCUUCAUCUUCUUAAAGUCUUCCUUCAAUCCAUCAACCACGAUCUACAAUUGAUGUGAGAUUUGCUCUUGCAAGACUGUGGGAUCUCCAGUAUAAAAAGUCCGGUAGAUGUUCGGGAGGCGAGGAAUAUUAGGCGCGGUGAAGAACUCAUGUCUGUCGACAUGCUAGCUGUUGCUUGAUUCGAAGGUGACCAAUGCCGGCCACCGUGACUGCUAGCCGGGUUCCAACCUCCGGGAUUCAUCUCAGGGCGGGGUUGAUGUAUUCUAUCACCGACUUUGAUGUGGCUCUGUGUAAUCCAAACUUCAGGUUCUCUGACUCCUCUCUUUCAAUCCGGUUCAGUGAUGCAGCCUCCUCUCCUUGAAUUUGUUAACUGAACUGAGUUCUCCACUGCCCGAAGAAUGUUUCCGGUUUGAGACAUCAUUGGGGAGAUCACCGUGGUGAAAACUACUGUCAGUGACCCACAGGAAGCAAAAAAACACUUGAUGGCGACCAUCAAAGUGGACAACGACGUGUCUGUGACUCUGAGUUUGUUCGACUCCCCCCAAGCUGUUUCGUUACACAGCAGACUGGAAGCUAUGCGUGUUGAUCCAAGGGUUAUUGCUACAAGCUUGAAUCCGAAGAUGGUUGGAGGCCGUUUGUUUUUUUUGUUGAACUUCAUGAACGCACAUUUAUUUCCAUAAGGAGACUAAUGUGGGGGACAUCUGCUUUUACAAGUUGGUCCCCACAAACACUGGGCUUCCAUCAGCAGCUUCACUUCUGAGAGGACGUGCCAAGGUUGAGUAUAUGACCAUAUCUGAGCUUAAGGAGUUUGUUAUAACUGCUCCAUCUCUGGAUAUUGACUUCUUAUGGAAAAAUGGUGGUGUUAUGUUGUUUGCUCUAAGUGCACCAAAAAGCUUCAACGCACCGUCUCCGCACUGCGAAAAUACACAUGCUGUUGGUGCCCUCCAGUAUGUAACAUAUUGUUGAACUGGGGGUAGCAGUCAGGCAGCACCGGAUGUGGGGGCAGCUCCAGAUGGUGACGAAUCAAAGAUGGCUUCCGCUGAAGCAAGCAUCCAAGGUGGUCAAGAAUAAUGCUUUGCCAUCGAUGAGGUUUCUUUUUUAACAAUUUAGAAGUGGUGUCUGUUUCUGGUUUGUUUAACUUCCUAAACAAUCUGCAUUUUCUGAAAUUUCUUUUACAUUGUGUUUGGCUUGAAUGUUCGUAGUUUGUACGCUUGGUUUAAGUUAAUGCAACCCUUCAAUGUUUGCUCAAA